rnacentral:misc_RNA from 1 species
AAACAAUACUUGUCUUCUUCUCCUGGAGAGCUCUACCAUUUUAUAACACUAGAAUUUGUAAACCCUAGUUUUGCUGUAACAGAAAGAUGGAUGAAGAGUAUGAUGUGAUUGUGCUUGGUACUGGUCUCAAGGAAUGUAUCCUCAGUGGUCUUCUCUCUGUUGAUGGUCUCAAGGUCCUGCACAUGGACAGAAAUGACUAUUAUGGAGGAGAAUCAACGUCUCUCAAUCUUGUCCAGCUCUGGAAGAGGUUCAGGGGAAGUGAUAAGCCUCCAGCUCAAUUGGGUUCUAGCAGGGACUAUAAUGUUGACAUGAUCCCUAAGUUCAUUAUGGCUAAUGGUGCUCUUGUACGAGUUCUAAUCCACACCGAUGUCACAAAAUACUUAUACUUCAAAGCUGUUGAUGGAAGCUUUGUGUAUAAUAAAGGAAAGGUCCACAAGGUGCCUGCCACUGAUAUGGAGGCACUUAAAUCUCCUUUAAUGGGCAUUUUUGAGAAACGCCGUGCUCGGAAGUUCUUCAUCUAUGUUCAGGAUUAUAAGGAGAGUGACCCAAAGACACAUGAGGGGAUGGAUCUAACAAGAGUGACAGCAAGAGAGCUUAUUGCAAAAUAUGGUCUUGAU